GACGAACGCUGGCGGCGUGCUUAACACAUGCAAGUCGAACGGAAAGGCCCCAGCUUGCUGGGGUACUCGAGUGGCGAACGGGUGAGUAACACGUGGGUGAUCUGCCCUGCACUCUGGGAUAAGCCUGGGAAACUGGGUCUAAUACCGGAUAGGACCGUGCUUUAGUGUGUGCGGUGGAAAGUUUUUCGGUGCAGGAUGAGCCCGCGGCCUAUCAGCUUGUUGGUGGGGUAAUGGCCUACCAAGGCGGCGACGGGUAGCCGGCCUGAGAGGGUGUACGGCCACAUUGGGACUGAGACACGGCCCAGACUCCUACGGGAGGCAGCAGUGGGGAGUAUUGCACAAUGGGCGCAAGCCUGAUGCAGCGACGCCGCGUGGGGGAUGACGGCCUUCGGGUUGUAUACCCCUUUCGGCAGGGACGAAGCUUUUGUGACGGUACCUGCAUAAGAAGCACCGGCUAACUACGUG
rnacentral:rRNA from 1 species